rnacentral:rRNA from 1 species
CCUACGGGAGGCUGCAGUGAGGAAUAUUGGUCAAUGGACGCAAGUCUGAACCAGCCAUGCCGCGUGCAGGAAGACGGCUCUAUGAGUUGUAAACUGCUUUUGUACGAGGGUAAACGCAGAUUCGCGUAUCUGUCUGACAGUAUCGUACGAAUAAGGAUCGGCUAACUCCGUGCCAGCAGCCGCGGUAAUACGGAGGAUUCGAGCGUUAUCCGGAUUUACUGGGCGUAAAGCGCUCGUAGGCGGUAUGUCAAGUCAAGGGUGAAAUCCCCGCGCUCAACGUGGGCACUGCCUUUGAAACGGGCAGACUUGAGUGUGUGAGAGGAGAGUGGAAUUCCAGGGGUAGGAGGGAAAUCCGUAGAUAUCUGGAGGAACGUCAGUGGCGAAGGCGACUAUCUGGCGGAUAACUGACGCUGAGGAGCGAAAGCGUGGGUAGCAAACAGGAUUAGAUACCCCAGUAGUC